AGCAGUAGCCACGGGAAUACGAAGGGGGCUAGCGUUGUUCGGAUUAACUGGGCGUAAAGGGCGCGUAGGCGGGUUUUUAAGUCAGAGGUGAAAUCCCAAGGCUCAACCUUGGAACUGCCUUUGAUACUGGAAGUCUUGAGUCCGGGAGAGGUGAGUGGAACUGCGAGUGUAGAGGUGAAAUUCGUAGAUAUUCGGAAGAACACCAGUGGCGAAGGCGGCUACCUGGAUUGACACUGACACUGAGGCGCGAAAGCGUGGGGAGCAAACAGGAUUAGAUACCCGUGUAGUCCCUGUCUCUUAUAC
rnacentral:rRNA from 1 species